GUCCACGCCGUAAACGUUGGGCGCUAGGUGUGGGGACCUUCCACGGUUUCCGCGCCGUAGCUAACGCAUUAAGCGCCCCGCCUGGGGAGUACGGCCGCAAGGCUAAAACUCAAAGGAAUUGACGGGGCCCGCACAAGCGGCGGAGCAUGUUGCUUAAUUCGACGCAACGCGAAGAACCUUACCAAGGCUUGACAUCGCCCGGAAACAUCCAGAGAUGGGUGCCUCUUCGGACUGGGUGACAGGUGGUGCAUGGCUGUCGU
rnacentral:rRNA from 1 species